AAAAAUAUAUAUAUACUUUCCAAAAUGAUCACCAUGAUUAAGUCUAGUAACCAUUUAUCACCAUACAAAGUUAUUACAAUAUUAUUGACUAUAUUCCCUAUGCUAUACAUUACAUCUCUGUGACUUCUUUAUUUUG